rnacentral:rRNA from 1 species
AUACGGAGGAUCCGAGCGUUAUCCGGAUUUAUUGGGUUUAAAGGGUGCGCAGGCGGCCAUUUAAGUCAGCGGUUAAAUCGUGGGGCUCAACCCCAUUCUGCCGUUGAUACUGGGUGGCUUGAUUGCGGUCGAGGUGGGCGGAAUUCGUUGUGUAGCGGGGAAAUGCAUAGAUAUGACGAAGAACACCGAUUGCGUAGGCAGCUGACCAGACCGCAAAUGACGCUCAUGCACGAAAGUGCGGGGAUCGAACAGGAUUAGAUACCCUGGUAGUCCGCACAGUAAACGAUGAAUACUUGUUUUCGGCGAUAUAAUGUCGGAGGCAAAGCGAAAGCGAUAAGUAUUCCACCUGGGGAGUACGCCGGCAACGGUGAAACUCAAAUGAAUUGACGGGG